GUUGUAUUCCCUCCGUCCAACAAAGGAUGUCUCAACUUUGACUAAAUUUGAAUGCAUCUAUACGUUAAGUCAUGUCUAGAUACAUCCAAAUUUUGACAAACUUGAGACAUCUUUUGUUGGACGGAGGGAGUAAUAA
rfam:Brachypodium distachyon strain Bd21 chromosome 2, whole genome shotgun sequence.